AGAACGGAGCGGUUUCUCGUUUAACCCUUGAAGACACCGCCCGUUCAGAGGGUAUCUCUCGAACCCGAAAUAACUAAAGCCAACGUGAACUUUUGCGGACCUCUGGUCCGCU
rnacentral:other from 32 species